rnacentral:rRNA from 1 species
GAUGAACGCUGGCGGCGUGCCUAAUACAUGCAAGUCGAGCGAACAGACGAGGAGCUUGCUCCUCUGACGUUAGCGGCGGACGGGUGAGUAACACGUGGAUAACCUACCUAUAAGACUGGGAUAACUUCGGGAAACCGGAGCUAAUACCGGAUAAUAUAUUGAACCGCAUGGUUCAAUAGUGAAAGACGGUUUUGCUGUCACUUAUAGAUGGAUCCGCGCCGCAUUAGCUAGUUGGUAAGGUAACGGCUUACCAAGGCAACGAUGCGUAGCCGACCUGAGAGGGUGAUCGGCCACACUGGAACUGAGACACGGUCCAGACGCCUACGGGAGGCAGCAGUAGGGAAUCUUCCGCAAUGGGCGAAAGCCUGACGGAGCAACGCCGCGUGAGUGAUGAAGGUCCUCGGAUCGUAAAACUCUGUUAUUAGGGAAGAACAAAUGUGUAAGUAACUAUGCACGUCUUGACGGUACCUAAUCAGAAAGCCACGGCUAACUACGUG